rnacentral:SRP_RNA from 1 species
GCUGGGCAUAGUAGCAUACGUAGUUCCAGCUACUUGGGAGGCUGGGGUCAAGGAUCGUUUGAGCCCAGGCUGUAGUAUGCUAUGUCCCUUGGGUGUCCACACUAAGUUUGCCAUCAAUAUUGGUGACCUUCUGGGAGCGGGAAAUCACUAGGUUACCUAACGUGGGGUGAACCAGCACAGGUUGGAAAUGGAGCAGGUCAAAACUCCUGUGCUGAUCAGUAGUAGUAUCACACCUGUGAAUAGCUAGCCAGGGGAACAUAGUGAGACCUCAU